UACGGAGGGGGCUAGCGUUGUUCGGAAUUACUGGGCGGAAAGCGCACGUAGGCGGCUUUGCAAGUCAGAGGUGAAAGCCCGGGGCUCAACCCCGGAAUUGCCUUUGAGACUGCAUCGCUAGAAUUGUGGAGAGGUAAGUGGAAUUCCGAGUGUAGAGGUGAAAUUCGUAGAUAUUCGGAAGAACACCAGUGGCGAAGGCGGCGCACUGGACUGGUAUUGACGCUGAGGUGCGAAAGCGUGGGGAGCAAACAGG
rnacentral:rRNA from 1 species